rnacentral:lncRNA from 1 species
GCUGGGACAGGGGCUGGGCCCAGCAGAGGGUCAUAGAGGCAAGGGGAGGGUGAGUCUAGGUUCAUGGGGACUGCCUGUGGGACAGCUGGGCUCACAGUGGGAGACACCAGGUCUUGGAGGCAGGAAAGGGAGUCUGCGGCAAAGAAGAGGAAGAGCGGGUGUGGGGCCGGCCGGGUCAGCGCCGCAAGGAGGAGCCGGAGGCCACUCGGUCCUCAGGGCUCCCAGAGAGCAGCAGGUGCGUGAGGGCCCCAACCCCAAAGGGCGACUCAGCCUGAACCGUCAGGUUCUGCAGUAGCCU